CCACAUCCAACGGUACGACUAGAACCGGUUCAGAUAUGGUCUGAGAUGGUUUUCCUGCUCAUUGUCCAUCAGGUCAUCAAAAAUGCCGUGGUUUGAUGUGUCGCUUGCAUGGGUUUGGUACAAUUGUAUAUUUGGCCACUUCCAGCGGGACGCCUAGAACCGGUUUCGGAACACUACCGGUUCAGAUAUGGUCUGAGAUGAUUUUCCUGCUCAUUAUCCAUCAGGUCAUCUAAAAUGCCGUGGUUUGAUGUGUCGCUUGCAUGGGUUUGGUACAAUUGUAUAUUUGGCCACAUCCAACGGUACGACUAGAACCGGUUCAGAUAUGGUCUGAGAUGGUUUUCCUGCUCAUUGUCCAUCAGGCCAUCAAAAAUGCCGUGGUUUGAUGUGUCGCUUGCAUGGGUUUGGUACAAUUGUAUAUUUGGCCACUUCCAGCGGGACGCCCAGAACCGGUUCGGGAACACUACCGGUUCAGAUAUGGUCUGAGACUAUUUUCCUGCUUACCACUCAUCAGGUUAUCGAAAAUGCCGUGGUUUGAUGUGUCUCAUGCAUGGGUUUGAUGCAUUUUCAUAUCUGGUCCCUUACUGCGGUACCGUUCCGGAACACCUAAAUGGCCAUAUCUCCGGAACGGCUGAACCGAUCUGAACAAUUUUCAAUAGGAAACAAUGGGACCAGAUUCCGCGUCGAAUGAACCGUCGGUCAUUGAAAUCGGAUGAGGUUUACUGCCAAAAAGUGAUGUGAGUUUUUUUGUACACACACAUACAGACACACACACACACGUACACACAUACACACACACAUACACACACACAUACACACACACACAGACAUCAUCUCAAUUCGUCGAGCUGAGUCGAUUGGUAUAUGUGAUUUGACCCACCGGGCCUUCUAUCAAAAAGUCAUUUUUGGAGUGAACAUAUAGCCUUUCCAGUACACUCAGUGUACGAGAAAGACAAAAAAUGUACUAUACGGUUCACGGGUUGGGAGGUAUGGCUUUCAAUCUUUGGAGGAUUAACUUAUGGAAAACUUAAGAAUCCGUUUUUGAGUUAUUCUUGCAAAGACUGAACGCCAUACCUCCCAACAUAAUCGUCAACAGUCGAAAUUCGAAGAAAUUAUUUAUACUUAUACAGUGUAAUUCGUCGGAACUACCUAUAAAGAGGGGAUGAUCACUAACCACAAGUAGUAAUGGUUUCUGCAGAAUAGAUAGGAAGAACAGCUAUUGAAUUAAAGAAGGCAAAAUUUCUAAUUGAAUUAUAAGUACCUAAAUAGUCGAUAAUUAAUUUAGUAAAAAAACUUAAAAGAACAGCCUAUAAAUUUAAGAAGGAAAAAUUACUGAACAAAACAUCAAACUAUAUUGCUAUAAAAUACUACAUCAACACAACUUGAAAGAAUAGCCUAUAAACAAAAUAAGGAAAAAUUUCCUAUAGAAAUGUCAGUGGCUGAAAUACAUAUGACUACUAUAACAGCACCAUAAUGUUUCUCUCAAUGAACAACAACAACAUGAACUAAUUAUUCUUAUACGUGACACAUCAGCUAGUAACUUAGUUUAGUAAUGUUUUUGUCCCUUCGACCUUUUGUCCAUUCGGCCUUUUGUCCCUUCGACCUUUUGUCCAUUCGACCUUUUGUCCUUCGACCUUCUGUCCUAAAGCCAUCAAAAUAUGCUUUUAUUGAGCUAUUUCACUCUGCUCGGGUUUACACUAAGUGUAAGUCUUCUCUCGGUUGGUAGUGAAUGUUCUGUUCUAGUCGCUCCAUCACGAAUGGUGGUUUGUUAUCUGCUAUUUGAUGUAUGGAAAAGCAGUUUUUUUUUAUGUGAUUCACUCGCAAUUAAUAUAUGUAUUAUCAAAUAUUGCUGCUUGACAUAGACCUUAGAAAACGAAAAUAAAGGGCAUUUAAGAACCUCAAAAGUGGGUAACUUUGCAAAUGUAGCAGGGGGCUGAACCCGAUUCAAAUCUUGCAUGCUGUACUAUUUUGUGCUUGUAUGGUUAACUUAUUCGCAAAUAAAAUAUGAGACUAUUCACCAGGCCAGUUGUUCAAGAGAACCGUAAUCCGGAAAUACUUUGUAAAAAAUAUUGAAUAUUUCUCCAGUGGUAAUUGUGAUAACUCAAGUCAAGUUUAUGUUACAAUACCUGUUAAGAUUAGAAAUAUUUCAACACAAUAUUCAAAUUUAAACUUCGCUAUAGAAUCCAGCUUCUACCAUAAUUGCGUAUUGCAACGCACUCUCACAUUCUAUUGUGUAAAAACGCACUCGCAUUCCAUAAGCUAAUUAGGCGAUUUUGUGCUUCCUGCUUUUUCACUAUCGCCCAACCAGACCCGUCACCAGCACAGUAGUGUAGAUAGCCAUAGUUAUAAUAAAGCAACCAUAGUGAACUGACCCAUACAUGCAAUAAAGUGCCUUCUCGUGCAAAUAAAUUCGGGUUUACGAUCAGUAAUCGCGUCGUUGUUUGUGGUAAAGUAAUCUACCGAAAUUUACGCCCGUGAUUUUGACCCCGUACAGAACAUUUUGAUGCCGUGACCAGGAUCACGGGUAUGUGAAUAUCACUUUCUGGAUCGUGUACUUCGACGCUAACACCUAACCCCAUCACCGGUCGAAAGUAUUUCCCAAAGGAUUGCAGUACCGUACAUAAUACAAGGCCUGUUUUUGGACAGGUACAUUCCAUUUCUGGUGUGAUUGCUGCUGGGAGACACGAGGUUGUUGCUGCUGCUGCAGUGAUAUGAUAAAUAGUACCACCGCCGGUGCUAAAGUGAAUUCAAUUAUCCAAUCAUUGGUCUGCUGAGCCGCUUUGUAUGCAGCGGAUAGUCCACGUCCGUGGAUCAACAUCGUGUUCGAGGUUCCUGCUAUUAAUAUAACACAAGGCCUGUCUUUGGACAGGCGCAGGUGAGUGUCUGUCCAAGUGUUUUAUACCUCCCCCUUCGGUACUUCCUGGGUCCUCCCGAUCAUUACAGCUCCCAUUUGGAAGUCGUCCAGCGCACACAAUGUCGGAGAAGAAGAGGAAGCAGAAGGAGCUCAAGCGUCGGAACAUCAUGGACUCGAUCGCCCGCAUCGAUGAGUUCCUGACCAACUUCAAUCCCGAACGAGACACCAAGGAGGUAGAGAUACGAUUGGCUAGAUUGGACAAGCUGAUGGAGAACUUCGAGGACAUUGAAGGUGAAUAGGAUACUGUUUGUGGAGAAAUUUAUUCACAAAUACUUCAGAAAUACAUGCACGAGCUUCUGUAGCAAUCCUUAAAGAAAUAUCCCAAAUAAUGAAAUUUGUGAG